UACAGAACUUCCAUCACAGAGUUUGAUUAUGGGGCUAAGGGUCAUUCAGCAGUGCAUUUUUAUGCUCAUGUUAACACGAGGCUUUUGUAGUGCUGAGAUCAGACUGGACCAGUCUCCUGCUGUGGUAAAGAGACCUGAAGAAUCUGUGAAGAUCUCGUGUAAAAUAAAUGGUUUUGAUAUGACAAGCUAUUACAUACACUGGAUCCGACAGAAACCAGGGAAAGCUCUGGAAUGGGUUGGUAGGAUGAAUGCUGGUACUAAUAAUGCAGAAUAUGCAGAAACUUUGAAGAACCAGUUCACCUUGACAGAAGACGUCCCAGCAAGCACACAGUACUUAGAGGCCAAGAGUCUGAGGACAGAGGACACUGCGGUUUAUUACUGUGCCCGACAAGCCACAGUGACUGGAACUGAGGAAACAGCUGUGCAAAAACCACACUCAUAUUUUUCAUACAGCAUUUUACUGAACGAGUCAUUACUCUUGUCAUUUAUGUAAAUGAUUAAAAUAAUCCCCUCUUACUGUGUUUAAUAAACUGCUCAAUUACAUAUAGUUUUCAAUUGUUUAUAUUACAAACCAGAGACAAAUGAAUAUGUAUUAUACAUUGUAAUGUUUAGUUAUUACGGAGUCUUACUGCAGUAUUCAGAUUCUGUAAAGGUCAGAUGUUAUGAACAUAACAAUAGUUUAUCAUUUCUGAUCACACAUUAUGUCUGUAUACUGUAAAUUUGGCUUUAACAGCUUUAAUCAGUUUAUUUCCAGUUCUCUAAAGGUUUGUGUUCAGGAGUCCACAAUAGAACAAAUGUCUGUGCUCUCAUUAACAGAGAACCAACUCUACUGGAGUGAGAUGUGUAAGGAUAUAUUUACUGUAACUAAAGAUAUAAUCAUUUAAAUUUAUGAGACAUCUAAUUAUUCAUUCAGUCAUCUUAAGUAAACACUUUAUCCUGGUCAGAGUGGUGGAUCCAGAGUCGAUCCAGGAGCACUGAGUGUACACCCUGGACGUAGAGAAGCCGAGUCACCUGCCUCACUCCUGACUUGAUUUCUUAAGGCAGAUUAUUUUAGAAUUUUGAGAAACAGAAGUAGGAGAAGAGAAUAGUUUCAGUGUCGAGCUGCUUAAGGAAAUUAGAUUUUUGCCAUCUGGUCACUAGAUUUAUAGUUAUUUUUUUAUAAUUUAAAACACCUCUUUAGAAUCUUAACAAUCUGCUACUUCACAUGGUAUUCAAAAGUAUUGGAUCGCUGCCAAGCUCCAAAAGUACUGUAAAGCUGCAAAAGCAUUGGAACGCUGUCUAGCUCUAAAAGUAUUGGAAUGCUAUCUAGCUCAAAAAGUAUUACAAUGCUCCCCAGCUCCAAAAGUAUCGGAACGCUGUCUGGUUCUAAAAGUAUUGAAAGGCUCUCUAGCUCCAAAAGUAUUGGGACACUGUAUGGUUCUAAACGUACUGGAACACUAUCUAGCUCCAAAAUUAUUACAAUGCUCCCUAACUCCAAAAGUACUGGAAC